GGAAAACAUAGGAGAACUGAAAAAGGAAAUCGAAGAGAUGAAACAAGGGAAAAAGUGGAGUUUAGAGGACGAUGAUGAUGAUGAAGAUGAUCCUGCAGAAGCUGAAAAGGAGGGAAAUGAAAUGGAGGGUGAGGAGUUAGAUCCAUUAGAUGCUUACAUGGAAGAAGUGAAAGAGGAAGUAAAAAAAUUUAACAUGAGAAGUGUAAAAGGUGGUGGGGGAAAUGAAAAGGUAUGGAAUUUCUUAUUUUUAAAGAUUUCUGUUUCCUCUUGGGUAACUUGAGUUCUCCAUUGCAUUGUCCUAGUGAUUGGCUUGACUUUGUAAAGCUAACAGUUUUCUUUCUCCUCAUCUGAGAGAUGGCAGUACUUUUUCUAAGUACCAGAGAUACUGGUAAAUUUUA
rnacentral:sRNA from 1 species